rnacentral:rRNA from 1 species
UACGUAGGGGGCUAGCGUUGUCCGGAAUCAUUGGGCGUAAAGAGCGUGUAGGCGGCCAGAUAGGUCCGUUGUGAAAACUCGAGGCUCAACCUCGAGACGCCGAUGGAAACCAUCUGGCUAGAGUCCGGAAGAGGAGAGUGGAAUUCCUGGUGUAGCGGUGAAAUGCGCAGAUAUCAGGAAGAACACCCGUGGCUAAGGCGGCUCUCUAGUACGGUACUGACGCUGAGACGCGAAAGCGUGGGGAGCGAACAGG